GGAGAGGUGGCAGAGCGGUUGAAUGCACCGGUCUUGAAAACCGGCGACGGUUAAUCCCGUCCGUGGGUUCGAAUCCCACCCUCUCCGCCA
rnacentral:tRNA from 3 species